UAAAGGCUGAGACAGAGCCAGCCACGUGACAAGCUCUGAGGACACACUUCAGGCAGAGACAAGCUAGGAGCAGGCUCUGAAAUGAAAUGUGGCUGGUCUCAGGAAGAAAGAGCAGUCUGGACAAGAGGGAAAUCAGCACACAGGGAAGCUGACUUCAAUUUUCUCUUCUACUCUGAUUCAUCAUUGGGCCAAGGGCCCAAGACCAACCAGUUCCCGUGUCUCAUUUCAGAUUUGCAUGAAGAGUCUGAUAAGUUGCUGACCUGACAAUGAAUAGAUCACCCCAUGAUCAGUGUCUGUGCUACUUCCUUGACUUUAACAUGGAGAUGGUGUCAUACACAGAGUUGUAAUCAAGUGCCUGCUCUUUGGUGGCUGCACUAGUUUCUGGCUGUGCAACCACAAGCAACGACCUAGCCUCUCUGAUCUUCCUUUUUUUUUUUUCACCUAUAAAAUGAAUGUGCCCCAUGGGACUGUCAUAAGGAUUUUUAAAAAGAUCAUGUAUGUAAACUCCUUAUCCUAGGGCCUGGUACAUAGUCAGUGUCAAAUUAAUAUUAGUCAUUAUUAUUACCAUCAUCAUCAUCAUUCAGUCAGGAGGGCCAUUUUCAGAGCUUCAAGUUGAGCACCCAAAUUUAUUCCCAGCCAAGCCCAGCCUCCCCCCAUUUAUUAAAAAACAUAAUC
rnacentral:lncRNA from 1 species